rnacentral:rRNA from 1 species
ACCCGCUGAACUUAAGCAUAUCAAUAAGCGGAGGAAAAGAAACCAACAGGGAUUGCCCCAGUAACGGCGAGUGAAGCGGCAAUAGCUCAAAUUUGAAAUCUGGCCCUUUCAGGGUCCGAGUUGUAAUUUGCAGAGGGCGCUUUGGUGUCGGCAGCAGCCUAAGUUCCUUGGAACAGGUCAUCAUAGAGGGUGAGAAUCCCGUAUGUGGCUGCUUGUCUUCACCGUGUAAAGCCCCUUCGAUGAGUCGAGUUGUUUGGGAAUGCAGCUCUAAAUGGGAGGUAAAUUUCUUCUAAAGCUAAAUAUUGGCCAGAGACCGAUAGCGCACAAGUAGAGUGAUCGAAAGAUGAAAAGCACUUUGGAAAGAGAGUCAAAAAGCACGUGAAAUUGUUGAAAGGGGAGCGCUUGCAGCCAGACGUGCCCGUAGUUGCUCAUCUGGGGUUCUCCCCAGUGCACUCUUCUAUGGGCAGGCCAGCAUCAGUUCGGGCGGUUGGAGAAAGACCUGUGUCAUGUAGCUCUCUUCGGGGAGUGUUAUAGGGCAGGUGGAAUGCAACCAGCCUGAACUGAGGUCCGCGCAUCUGCUAGGAUGCUGGCGUAAUGGCUGUAAGCGGCCCGUCUUGAAACACGG